GGCAGGAAGAGGCAGAGCUUGUAAAAAACAGAUAGCUGAGCACAGACAGGUGCUGUGGGAAGAGAUCUGCAGUUACUUUCUCUGUGGCUAGGGAGAGUAGGUGCAGGAAGCAGUCCAGGGAAACAACAACAGGGGAGGAUAGUGUAGACCAUAGCUGCUGGUUGUGGGGUCCCUGGGCUGGAACUUGGAGAAGAGGUUGGGCCCAGGAUCCCCUAACAGCUAGUGGAGAAGUAGUACCAUUAAGAGGCAGUGAAUUGGAAGCCUGUCUGGAAUUGCUGGUACAGAAAGACUUUGGUACACAAACCCCCACCUCCAGAAGGGGAAAACUGCAGUGACCUAGCUGGAAGCAAGGCUGAGCUAUGUGAGGGAAAGAGACAGAGUGAGCACCUGCAGGAAGGGGCAUCAGACUGACUGACCUACUCCCCAGCCGUGGCUACAAGGGGAGGGUUUCUAGUGAUCUGAAUUCAGUCUUCUCAGCUGCUGCUUCAACGGCUAAUACCAUCUGUGAAAGGAAAAAUGAAACUCCGUACACUGCUUUAGGUGCUAAUGAUGCUAUCAACUUUUAGAUGAAAAGCAGAAAAUAAUGUGCUCACAUCUUGACAAAUGACUAGUCCAUAAAUCCCAGGCCAAACAACCUGUUGGACAACUUCCAGGAAGCGUUGAGACAUCCACCAAAAUAUCAAAGAGUAUAAUUAUACUUUCAUCAUGUGUUCCAGCUCAUCUGAGAAUAGUCAAGAGACAUUAAAGAAGACAAUCUCAUCUGAAUCUAAUUAUUGCUGACAUGAUGCUCAAUAUUGCUUAUAGAACUCAUCAUCUUUGAUUUGCUUCAUUAAACAAUGGCCUAAUCAGUUCCCA